UUUCUGUAGGUGAACCUGCGGAAGGAUCAUUAUUGAAACUUGAAUCGUAGCAUUGAGAACUGUUGCUGACCUGUUAAAGGGUACGUGCACGUUCGACGUGUUGCGUUCUAUUCAUCCACCUGUGCACCUUUGUAGACUUGAUUAACUUUCGCUCUCGAGCGGUUAGAAGGGUUGCUUUCGAGCUCCCUUUGUCUAUCAAGUCUAUGUCUAUAUAAUCUCUUGUAUGUCUAGAAUGUCUUGUUUAUGGGACGCAAGUCCUUUAAAUCUUAUACAACUUUCAACAACGGAUCUCUUGGCUCUC
rnacentral:misc_RNA from 1 species